ensembl:lncRNA
CUUUAACAGCUAACUUAAGCCUCACCCCUCUUCUUUCAUAUCAUGCACCACAUCUGUGAAAGUUGAUAAGAAAGCUCAGGUGCUCCCUCCCUAAGCACCCAUGGGAGAGUCAAACUACACGAGUCCCUGCUCACACACGUGCAGGAAUCCUCGCACCAGCCCCACCCACUAACCAAAUAAAAACCCCUGCUCUCUCAAGCCAAUCUAACACCACCUUAAGCAGCCUGCCUUGCUCUUCUCAGAAACCCUCAUUAGGUUUAAUUAUAUUCACAUGGAUGGCGUGGAACAAAACCAGAUGCAGGGAUUUUGAGUUCAAUACCAACAGCACUGACCUAAAGGCUGAGACUGUAUCAAACCCUUCAGACUGGAAGUGGAAGUAGAAAUUUGGCUGGCUUACUUUCUGGUGCAUGAGACAUUACGGUGGCACACAUUUUUUGUGCGUACCAUUACCGACGAUGUUCACCUCAAUUACUUCAUUGAGGUCGUGCCUGGCAGGGUCCACUGAGAUUACCCUAGAUAACGAAGGUGGGACCCAUUCAAUCAGUAGAAAGGCCUUAAGAGCAACAGCUGAAGAAGAAAAACAUCUGCCUCAAGACAGCAGCAUCAUCUCCUACCUGAUUUUCCAGCCAGCUGGGCUGUCCUAUGUAUUUUGGACUUGCCAGCCCCUCAAUCACAUGAGCCAAUCCCUUGAAAUAAAUCUUAGUAUCUUUGUAGAACAUAUUAAUAAUUAAUUAAUUGUAUGUAAAAUUUAUAUUUUUCAUCUAUUUAUAAUCCUUUUGGUUCUGUCUCUCUGUAGAACCCUGACUUAUCUGACUCAUAAAGAUUUUGGUACUGGGAAUGGUUUAGGCAGAAGAGAAUCUUGAGGAUGAGUUUUCUAGAUUGAUUCUAUGGAGGUACUUUGAAAUUUAAAAGUGCCCUAUUGCGCAUCAAAGUGUCAAUUUAUCCAUUCUUUCACGUACAUCAGUAUGGACUCAUGGUUCCCUAAUUUAUUCAAGGGUUUAUAAUCUAUUUUUUUACUAACUUUAUUGAAAUAUCAUUCAUUUGGCAUAUAAUCUACGCACUUAAAGUACAGAAUUUAAUGACUUUUAGUAUAGUCACAGAAUUGUGAAGCCAUAACCACAAUUAAUUUUUGAAUACUUUCCUCACCAGAAAAUGAGGAAAGACCUGUACACUUUAGUUAUUAUCUCUAAAACUCUUCAUCUUAUUCAGGCUUGGCAACCACUGAUCUACUUUCCAUCUCUACACAUUUGCCUAUUCUAGACAUUUUGUAUAAGUGGGACAAUAUAAUAUGUAGUAUUUUUGUGGCUGGCUUACUUCACUUAGUGUAAUGUUUUAAAGAUUCGUCUAUGUUAUAUAUCAAUAUAUUAUUCUUGUUUAUAGUCAAAAAUAUUCUGUUGUGUAGAAUACCAUAUUUUGUUUAUCCACUCAUCGCUGAUGGAAAUUUAGAUUAUUUUCACCUUUUGGCUACCAUGAAUAAGGCCACUAAAGACACUUGUACACAAAUUUUUUUGUGGACAUAUGUUUUCAGUUCUCUUGAGUAUAUACCUAGGAGUAGAAUUGAUGAGUCUAAUGAUAGGUGUAUGUUUAACUUUUUGAGGAACUGCCAGAUCAUUUUCCAAAGUGGCUCUACCAUUUUGCACUGCACCAGCAAUGUAUGAGGGUUCCAAUUUCUCCACAUUCUUGCUAGCAGUUGCUAUUCCUAGUUUGAUUAUAAUCAUUUUAGUUGGUAUGGCAUGGUAUCUCAUUCUGGUUUUGAUUUGCAUUUCCCUAAUGACUAAUAAUGUUGAGCAUCUUUUAUGUGCUUGUAGGCCAUUUGUAUAUUUUCUUUGGAGAACUGUCUGUUCAGGUUCCUGAUCUGUUUUAUAAUUGUAUUAUUUGUCUUUUUAAUUACUAAGUUGUAAGAAUUCCUUACAUAUUCUACAGACAAAUCCCUCAUCAGAUAUAUGAUUUGUAAAUAUCUUCUCCCAUUCUGUGGGUUAUCUUUUCUUUUGUGAUAGUAUCCAUUGAAACACAAAAGUGUUCCAUUUUUAUGAAGCCACAUUCAUCUAUUUUUUGUUGUUGUUGCUUGUGCUUUUCAUGUCAUGGUAAGAAUACAUUGCCAAAUCCAGGGUCACAAAGAUUUACUCCCAUAUUUUCUUCCCAGAUUUCAUAGCUUUAGUUAUUACAUUAGGUUUUCUUUCAAUUCCGAGCUGUACGUGAUGUGAGAUAAGGAUCCACCUUUGUUCUUUUGCAUGUGGACAACCAGUUUCUCAGCACCAUUUAUUGAAAAAUCUAUUCUUCCAUUAAAUUGCACUAAGAUGUCAUGGAAAAUGAAGAAGUUGAAAGCUCAAGUAAUUAGUGCCUCAACUGAACCAAUCAUUAAGCUGGUAAAAACUGAUAGAAUCAACUAUUUUAGAACUCUGAAAUCUAAAAAAGCUUACAGCAACCAAGUGAGUGCUUAAUGAAGAAAAAGACUAUAAAUUUCAAUAAGAAAGCUUUGUAGCAUUUUUGCUCACCUGCCUACCAUCCUUCAUUCUCCAGCUUAGUGGUGGCUGUCUGGACAGAGGCUCACGUUACCAGUGAGAAUUGCUGAUGCCAAGGAGGCAAUACAGACUUGGUUCUCAAAAAACCAUGCUUGUGAAUUUUGACCUAACUGGCAGUUCUGUGAGGGACUGGCACAAAGGGCCAGGGCCAGAUGUAUGCUCUAUGUUCAGAAAACAACUGAGAGGGCCACAGGCUUGCACCUCUGGCUAAUCUGUGGGCUUCAUGCAAGUAAGAAGUAAAGCAAAAGGCAGAGUUAUAUGCAGCCUGGCUUAGUGUUGAAGGAGUGCUCCAGCUCAGAACCAAUCUGCAAAGAUAGGGGGAGGGGUGUGUGUGUGUGUGUGUGUGUGUGUGUGUGUGUGUGUGUGUGUGUGUGUUGAGGAAGAUCAGUUUGUCUUUGUUUUUGUUUUCUCUUGACUCCAGGCAUUAAGGAAAUCUCUGUCAGCUGUCAAGUUACUGGCUGACCACUGAGAUAACAGAACAGAGACUUCUGUGACCACACAUGACUAGGAACACAGUCUUUGCAAUAAUUGUUUGGAAAAGUACUAAACAAAUGGAUAACUCCAUCCCUUAACAAUCAACAAGAGCAAACCUUUGAUGGGGGGAGAAUCUGAUUUACAGAGUUACCACAUUACAAUAUUCAGAUGUUCACUUUUCAACAAAAAAUUACAAGGCAUACAAAGAAACAAGAAAGUAUGGCCAAUUCACAGGAAAGAAAGAAAUUGACAGAAACCAUCCUUGAGGAAGUCCAGGCAUUGGAUUUAUAGAAAAGACUUUAAAUCAACUGUAGUGUGACAUGAUUAGAAAAUAUUAUUGGCAGUAAAUUUUUAAUUAUAUGCUCAGAGUAAAACAACUGAAACCUUAUUUUCAUUAGACUGACUGCCACCAACUCUGUUUAUUUUUAAUGCAGUUCUUUUUUCUACUUACUACUACUCUAUAUUCAGCUUUGGAAUUAAAACCUUCAACUCCUCGCUUGCUCCAGAUAAGGGAGAAUAGGAUAGUUCUCUUAAAGCUGGUGUUCAGCAUUAGUGUGAAAGGUGAUGCUAUCUAUUCUCUGACUGGAUCACUCAAAAGGUAUGGAUCUGUGGGGAAAAAUGAGAAUGCUACUAGACCAGUGCAUCCCAAAGUGCUGGCCUGUGGACUGUGUUGUGUUCUGGUCCACAAUGAGAUAAGAAAUUGAGAGUAAGUGUUUAAGAACUUUUAUAGAAAUUUCAAAGAGUAAUUCUAUGUCUGUGGAAUAGAAUAAUAAAAAAUUAGGUAGUAUUUCAAUGCUUUUUAUUUCAUUUUUCCAGUAAUUUGUUUUUAUUGUAUUUUACAGAAGUACUGAUCCACAACAUAUUAGGAAAAAAACAUUUUUUAAUUAAUCCUUCACCAUAGAUUGUUUGAGAGCAUUGUUCUAAUCAGCUUCACCAGACCUCAUAGGUCAGGUUUUAUUUGGGAGGAAUGUAAUGAUUUCCUAAAAUGCCAAAGAUCUAUAUCUCAAUGUGAAAACAAAAUUGACAAACCAUUUACCAGACUAGAAAAGAAAAAAAAAAGAGAGAAGACUCAAAUUACUAAAGUCAGGAAUGAGAAAGAAUUACUCCUAUCAUUUUGGGGAUCCCUUCUUUUUCAAAGAACUACUUUUGGUUUUGUUGGUUCUAUUGAUUUUCUGUUCUUAUUCUGUUUAUUUAUGCUCUAGUCUCUAUUAUUUCCUUCCAUCUGCUUGCUUGGGCUUAGUUGUUCUUUUUCUAGUUUCUUAAGGUGAAAGUUUAGGUUAUUGCUUGAAAUUGUUUUAAUGUAGGCUUUAACAGCUAUUAAUUUCUAGUUGAGCAUUGCUUUUUCUGUGUUCCAUAAGUUUUGGUAUAUUGUUAUUUUCAUUCAUCUCAGAAUAUUUCCUAAUUUCCCUUCUGAUUUCUUCUUCAUCCCAUUGGUUAUUUAGCAUUUGUUAAUUUUCCAAAUUUUAUUCUGUUGUUGAUUUCUAAUUUCCUCCCCUUGUGAUUAGAAAACGUACUGUGAAUUAUUUCAAUCAUUUUAAAUUUAUCAAAACUAUUUUGUGACCUAAUGUGUGGUUUAUCUUGGAGAAUGUUUCAUGCACACUUUAUAAGAAUGUGUAUUCUGCUAUUAUUGUCUGAAGUGAUCUGUAGAUGUGUGUUAGGUCUUGCUGUAUAAUGUUGUUCAGUUUGCUAUUUUCUUGUUGAUUUUCUAUAUAUUAAUGGAAAUGGGAUAUUAAAGUUUCCAACUAGUGUUGCUGAAUUGUCCUUUCUUUCAAUGGUGUCAGCUAUGCUUCAUAUAUUUUGGGACUCUGAUGUUAAGUGCAUGUAUAUUUAUACUUGUGAUGUUUUCUUGAAGUGUUGACUCUUUUCAUUAUGCAAUGUCCUUCUUUGUCUUUUAUAACAAUUUUUGUCUUAAAGUCUAUUUUGUCUGAUAUUAGCAUAGUCACUCCGGCUCUCAUUUGGUUACUGUUUGCAUGGAAUUCCUUUUUCCAUCCUUUUACUUUAAACUCUUUGUGUCUUUGAAUGUAAAGUGAGACAGUUGUAGAUAGCAUAUAGUUGGAUAUUGUUUUGAAAUCCAUUCUGCCAAUCUCUGACUUUUAAAUAGACAGUUUCAUAGAUUUACAUUUAGUCUAAUUACUGAUAAGAAAGAAUUACUUCUGCCUUUUUGCUGUAUAUUUUCUAUACGUCAUACCUUUUUUUCCCUUUCAAUUCCUCCAUUACUCUUUUCUUUUGUUUUAAAUAGAUGUUUUCUAGUGCGUCAAUUUAAUUCCUAUGUCAUUUCUUUUACUAUAUAUUUUUGAGUUAUUUUCUUUGUGGUUGCCCUGAGAAUGAUAGUUAUCAAAUUAACUUAUAAUAAUAUAGUUCAGAUUAAUAUUUCUUUUACUCUAUUAUUUACUUAUUUUUCUUUCCCUGUGGUACUGGCCAAAACUUUCAAAAUUUUGUUAAAUGGUGGUAAGUGCCCUUGUUUUCUUCCAGUCCUUUCAUUUUAAAUGAAAGCUGAUGUAUAACGUUGGCCUUCCACAGAGGGGUGCUAAACAUAGUAGGGGCACUGAACAAACAUAAAUUCCCUACCUGGCAUAGAGUAUGUGCUCACUAAAUUUUUGCUGAAUGAAAUUAUAUAUUUUGUGUGUGUUUGGUCAUGAUUAUAACUUUCCCACUUCAAUUCCUCCCAUCUUCCUCAUCCUCAGCUGAUGCUCCCAGACAUGCCGUGCUUCCAUUUUACUGUGCUUUUGUGUGUGCCUUACAGACCAAAAUGUAUUCCUCCUCUAAUCUUUGUAUAAAGAUAUUAUUUAUCCUUGUAAAUAGUUUACAUCAAUUCUAUUUUAAAAUUUUACUUAAUUUCUUCCUCGAGACUGAAAUAUCUUUAAUUUUCCCCUUUUUAUUACCCCAGAUGAUGUGUUUUGCUCACAUUUACAACACCCCUUGCCUUUCAGUGUAAGGAUGCUGUUUAUACAUCUUUUCUCUCAACUAGACUGUGACCUACUGAGGAUAAAGAUCAGGAUGUCUCUUUUAUUUGUAUCUUCAGUACAGUAUUUAUCCUAUUGAUGGGUGAUACUGUGUGUUGAACAAAAAAGAAAGUGAUGAUUCUAUUUAUAAUGUACUUUACAAUGUAAAGGACUCAGAGAUGGUCUGAAGUAGAUGACUGAGUGACGAUAAUCUGAUGGUUGGUUCUCCCAGAAUGCUGCAAUGAUCAGCCUAGUUCUGAUGUCCACUUGGAGAUGAAGAAUUAAGUUUAGGUAAAAUAACCAGAUCUUCCAUAUGGUUGUGCAGCACCACCGCCUACCACCUUAGUAUGAAUUCUACCCCUCAGGUGCA